rnacentral:rRNA from 1 species
GACGAACGCUGGCGGCGUGCUUAACACAUGCAAGUCGAACGGAAAGGCCCUGCUUUUGUGGGGUGCUCGAGUGGCGAACGGGUGAGUAACACGUGAGUAACCUGCCCUUGACUUUGGGAUAACUUCAGGAAACUGGGGCUAAUACGGGAAAGAAGUUCCGGCGGCAGGGGGGGGGUGGGAAAGUUUCGGCGGUUGGGGAUGGACUCGCGGCUUAUCAGCUUGUUGGUGGGGUAGUGGCUUACCAAGGCUUUGACGGGUAGCCGGCCUGAGAGGGUGACCGGCCACAUUGGGACUGAGAUACGGCCCAGACUCCUACGGGAGGCAGCAGUGGGGAAUAUUGCACAAUGGGCGGAAGCCUGAUGCAGCAACGCCGCGUGCGGGAUGACGGCCUUCGGGUUGUAAACCGCUUUCGCCUGUGACGAAGCGUGAGUGACGGUAAUGGGUAAAGAAGCACCGGCUAACUACGUG